rnacentral:hammerhead_ribozyme from 1 species
UUCCAGCUGACGAGUCCCAAAUAGGACGAAACUCGCGUACAGGGU